rnacentral:rRNA from 1 species
UACGAAGGGGGCUAGCGUUGCUCGGAAUCACUGGGCGUAAAGCGCACGUAGGCGGACUCUUAAGUCGGGGGGUGAAAUCCUGGAGCUCAACUCCAGAACUGCCUUCGAUACUGAGAGUCUUCGAGUUCGGGAGAGGUGAGUGGAACUGCGAGUGUAGAGGUGAAAUUCGUAGAUAUUCGCAAGAACACCAGUGGCGAAGGCGGCUCACUGGCCCGAUACUGACGCUGAGGUGCGAAAGCGUGGGGAGCAAACAGG